CAGACAGGAAUGCACCGUGACCUCCGUAGGCUACCUGUUCCGGCGCUACGUCAACCUGAACAUAAAGAAUUUCUUCCUCGUGUUGAAGUGAAACUUCUUGAUGUAUUCUUCACCCCCUCCCAGACACAUAACACUAUGUUUCCCUUUACUUCAUUAAGAUUCCUGUCAGCCACCAUGUUUUUGGCUUGCCCAGGUCUCUCUGAACAGCAGCCCUGCCCUUAAGAGGAAUGAUUGCACUCCUAAUUAAUAGAGAUUUUAAAAAAUCGACUUCUUUAGUUAACCUGGCAAAUUGACCGGGAAAAAAAUUUUAGAAGAGAUCACCUUACAGGUUUAGUCUGCCUUCUUGUCUGUUGUGAAAAUCUUUGUUUGGCUGGAGAUUAUCUUGGCAUGGAAGUAACUUGUGCUGAACAAUUUAAUAACAGUUCCUGCAACACAAUGCUGCUUCAGUGGGCUUCUGCUAACCUGUACUGCUCCAACCUUUACACUGUGUAUGUGUGUGGUGCUCUGUUGGCUCUGCACAGGCCUGGAGAGCUACAGUUUUCCAGCUUCCAAACUCCCACUGCUGUUGCAGAAAAGCUUCAGGAAUCAAGCUGUCACUUUAAGUUUCCACAGCUGUUGAUACAAGUGUAGUCAUGAACCCCAGGUAAGUUUUGGACAGAAUUUGAUUUAAAAAAAAAAAAUCCUAGUCUGUGUUUGUUUGUUUUAAUCUUGAUUAUAAAAUGGAAAGUUCAACCACAGUAUGGAAAGAACAAGUGAAGCUACAUGAAGGGAAAGAUGCCAACCUGACUUUCUCUUGUUCUGUGACACUCAGCUCACAAAUAUUUCUGUGCUGGAAUGAUAAUUUAUCUGGGUGACCACCCCUUGCUCUGCACAGAGUACACCACCAAAAUACACAUUUUCCUAGACUUCCCCAUCAGUAAUUUUACUGUUUCUCUUCAGCUGUGUGAGGAAGACGGGGCUUUGUGUUUUGCCACUAUUUUCUGUAUAGGGAAGCUGAACCAGGUGACUUUUAAAAGGUCCCUUCCCACUCAAACUUCUGUGUCUUUA
rnacentral:lncRNA from 1 species